rnacentral:rRNA from 1 species
UACGUAGGGUGCAAGCGUUUAAUCGGAAUUACUGGGCGUAAAGCGUGCGCAGGCGGCUUUGCAAGACAGAUGUGAAAUCCCCCGGGCUUAACCUGGGGAACUGCAUUUGUGGACUGCAUGGCUAGAGUGCGGCAGAGGGGGAUGGAAUUCCGCGUGUAGCAGUGAAAUGCGUAGAUAUGCGGAGGAACACCGAUGGCGAAGGCAAUCCCCUGGGCCUGCACUGACGCUCAUGCACGAAAGCGU